rnacentral:rRNA from 1 species
UACGAAGGGUGCAAGCGUUACUCGGAAUUACUGGGCGUAAAGCGUGCGUAGGCGGUUUGUUAAGUCCGUUGUGAAAGCCCCCGGCUCAACUGGGGAGGGUCACGCGAUACUGUUCGACUCGAAGGCAGGAGAGGGAAGCGGAAUUCCCGGUGUAGUGGUGAAAUGCGUAGAUAUCUGGAGGAACACCGGUGGCGAAGGCGGCAUCCUGGACCGGCAUUGACGCUGAGGAGCGAAAGCCAGGGGAGCAAACGGG